rnacentral:rRNA from 1 species
UACGUAGGGUGCAAGCGUUAAUCGGAAUUACUGGGCGUAAAGCGUGCGUAGGCGGCUAUGUAAGACAGAUGUGAAAUCCCUGGGCUCAACCUAGGAACUGCAUUUGUGACUGCAUAGCUAGAGUGUGGUAGAGGGAGAUGGAAUUCCGCAUGUAGCAGUGAAAUGCGUAGAUAUGCGGAGGAACACCAAUGGCGAAGGCAAUCUCCUGGACCUGCACUGACGCUCAUGCACGAAAGCGUGGGGAGCAAACAGG